GCCCCUGCUCCCUCCGCCAGCAACGAUGCAGUAGCAAAACCAUUGGCAUGGUGUAUGAUUCCUUGCCUUCCGAUCCUGCCACCCAUAUUAUGUGUACCACCGAUAUUCUGUCCCCCAACGCCAAGUGCGCCGCCGCCGCCAUCCCCUUUCAAGCCGCACCCCAAGGAGUGCCUACCGUCGCUGAUGGGGCUGAUGCCAUGUAAGGAUUUCCUCACCAACAGCACCGCGCCCAAGCCUCCACGCCAAGGCAAGUGUUGUGACGGCGUCCGGUCACUCUUCCAAAAUUUUCCCAUCUGCCUUUGCCACGUGUUCAACGGCGGCGACCUAGACAAACUCAUGUCGGCACCCCUGGAUGGAGGCCAACUCUUUGGCCUCUCGUCUGCUUGUAACACCAGUCCGAGUGACUUUGUACCCUGCUACGAUGUGCCACCGAUGAGGGCCGCACCUACCCCUAAAGCUGCUCCAUAAUCGGCUCAAUAUCAGAACCAUUGCCGUAGUAGCAUUACAGAUGGAAGCUAAAGAUGUCGUAUGCCUAGAUUUGUUAGUAUCAUUCUUAGAAGAUAUAUAGUGCGAGUUUUUAGUUUGAUUAGGGAUGAUAUGUAGCUUCAUUUGUGUCAAUC